CUGUUAUAAAGUAUUAUUCUGUGAUGUAGUUUUGAAACAAUUUGCAUUGUUAUUUUGUAGUUUGUUUUUUAAAGAGAUUGUUUGCAGUCCCGGGCUAACGGAAGCCGGGAAUGGACCGGGCAGGUUGUAUACUACCGUGUUUAAGCCGCUUUCUGACCGUCUCUUCAGGCUGCACCGAGCCGAGAACGUCUCCUCUCGAGUCUGCUGCAAUCUUAGCUUGACUUCCUUCUCCUCCUCUUUUCUACAAUACAGCAAGAUCAGAUACACUCUCGCUUCUUCUGCUGCUCGUUCAUCUCUGCUUCCUUUAUGAAGAACAGGCGUUCCUUCAGCUCGACGUGGGACAUCUCUUCUAGCAGUUCAUGGCCCGCAUGCUUAAAGAAGAAGAGUCAGUUCAGAUGCCUGGGAGAAAGACACCAUAGGACACCAUUCAGUAUGCCAGAAAAAGGACUCGUGCGCUCCCUUCGCCAGCGUUUCUAAUCUGUCAACAUAAGGGCAAAUGGAACUCAGCAGUAAUUACCUCUGGAGCUCCUCCUCCACCUUGCGGUCAUAUAGCGCCCUCUGUCGCAGGAUGGUGG